rnacentral:rRNA from 1 species
UACGUAGGUGACCAGCGUUGUCCGGAUUUACUGGGCGUAAAGAGCGCGCAGGCGGUCGUUCAAGUCGAGUGUGAAAGCCCCCGGCUCAACUGGGGAGGGUCACUCGAUACUGAUCACUUGAAGGCAGGAGAGGGAAGCGGAAUUCCCGGUGUAGUGGUGAAAUGCGUAGAUAUCGGGAGGAACACCAGUGGCGAAGGCGGAUCUCUGGGCAGUUCCUGACACUGAGGCACGA